rnacentral:lncRNA from 1 species
AGACGACCCCUGCAACCCUGAGGCCGGUGCCAGAGCCUCCACUGACAUCGUCACAAGGAAGAAAAGUGGCAGAAACAGACGACAGGUAUCGUCUCUCAUCAGUGGACUACAGGCCUGGGGCUCCAGGUCCACAAGGUCCCACCGGUGCUAAAGGUGAGAAAGGGGACAAGGGAGACAGAGGAGACAAAGGCAGCACAGGAGACAGGGGCCCUGCGGGGCCCAAAGGGGAUCCCGGUUCUGGUUCCAGCUCCGGCUCCGGUUUCUCGUCACAAGGUGGAGAGCAAGGACAGAAGGUAGAGCGUCUGUCUGUUUGUGUACAGGAAUGGGCUUUUGUGUUGAGCUACAUGAAU